ACUCACCGGCCAGGCGAAACUGAAAGGCAGCACGAUGCGGUUGCGGUCGUUGCCGCGGCUGGCCUUGAGGUUGAAGGUGUUGCCCCCGAUGACAGGCGUGGACCCUGAGCCGAAGCUGCAGGGCCCCCCGGCCGUGACGCGGGACUGAUACUCCUUGAGGCACACUUUGAAGUAUGUGUCACACUCGUCGCGGGUGCACUUGCGGUCUCCCGGGUUCCGGGCGCCGCCGCAGCAGUUCCCGUUCUGCAGCUCCCCGUUCACGUUCUGCAUGGACAGGAUCUCCAACUCGAACUGACCCGAGGCCCCACACACCUGCCGGCGAGGGAAGGAGGUUGGACCAUAUAUUAUGGGAGCACCUUUUGCAAGGAUGAAAUACUCCGUCUGGGUAAGGCAUUUUCAUUGAAGCUUGUAGCUGUUUGUUUAGUUAUUUAAAUCAGGUUGAUGGAUGUAAAGUGAGCUCCUUCUACUCACCUGAAGCAGAAACAGUGCUAGGUGAUACUCAAAUCUCUGGGCACCCAAGAAGACUCCAAAUCUCAGCAUCUCUUGAAAUAGGUGGCAAUGUGUAACAGCAUUCUAGCCAAUGUAACAUAUUUUACGUCCAGGACUGGCCCCUAAAACAUUUUGCAUGAUCCUUCAACAUUCUUUUUUCCUUUCCUACUAGAUGGAUGGGAAUAAUUCAGCUGGGGAUUUGGAGGCCCUAAAGGGCAGUGUAGCCAAUGGACAGGUGAUCCCAGGUACCUGCAUGAGUGGAGGCAGGCCCUUCCUGCAGACCUGCACUGAACUAUAACGUGGGCAGUAAGUAACUAUACUUUGUGUUAAGCCACUAUGAUGUGGGGCUGUUUGUUACAACUGCAAAGAUUGCUGUCCUUGAUUAAUGCACCAUGCAAUGUUCUCCCAGGCUUAGUUUCUCUGCUUGAUUGCUCUCUUCAUGUUCAACUCUUAUAUGAGUUGGUGACACUUUGGUUGAAACAUUUCCAAGGACUGAAGAAUAUGUUUAUUAUCAAACCAACUGAUUAUGAAAAUAAUCUGUAUUUUUAAGGUAUGUGAAGGAGUAGGUAUACAUUUGUGCUUUGGGCCAAUUUUAUAUCUUUAAAAUAAAAAUACAUUAAAUAAGCAGGUAAUAUUAAUAAUUAAUAAUACCAUAUAAUGAUCUGUAAAGCAUAUAUUGAUAUGUAAAACACUGUGCUAAGUACACAUAUAUAAGCACAACUCUUAUAGCAAUGCUUUGAGGUAAAUGCUUUAUUAACUCCAUUUUACAGAUGAGGACACUGAGGCUUAAAGAGCUUAAAUAACUUACUAAAAGUUACAUAUGUGGAAAUAGUGGAAUGGAGCUUGGAGUCAAAGCAUACUAGGCUCUAAAACUUGGGCUCUCAAUCACUUUAUUAACCAUAAUAGAGACAUUAAUUCUCAGUCCUUAGACCUCUUAAGUCUCACCAUGAUUCAUGAUGAUAAUUAUCAGUGAUGAUUGACAUUUCUGUAUACUCACUCACUACUGCUCUGUGCUCUGUGCUGUAUGUGAGAUAGCUUAUUAAAAGUCUUCACAAUCAUCAUAUGAGACAGGCAUAUUACUGUCUGUUAUAUGUAUACCUAGUGUAUCUAGUAGUUACAGUAAGCACUCCAUAAAUAUAAA
ensembl:lncRNA novel transcript, antisense to JAG1